AUGCAGCCGAUCAAAAGAUUUACGGUGCUUGAGGUCGUUAACGACAGUGACAUCCCUACGGAGCCCCUUCCAUUAUCCUGUUGCGGCUCCGCCUGCUGGUAUCGAGCAGAAUCAACCCCCGUUGAAAGCUACGACGGUCAAAUUUGUGUGGUCGGAGCUCAGAGGGAAGAUUCCCCACAAGCCUCGUCACAAUCCGUUGGAAAGAUGGAUCCAAGAGCUCCAGUAUGGGCACGCAGGAAGUCUGGAGAGAAGAAUGUGUUUGUUUCGGUUCCAACUGCAAUCUGUUCAGGCAAUUCUGAGCAAAAGCUGAACUGUGGUAGUUCACCAAAAGUAGCUGACUGA
rnacentral:rRNA from 1 species